UUUAUUAGGGUUAAUUAUUCUAAAACAAAAAGAGCAAAGGGGAACAGUUUGAUUUAUUAGGGUUAAUUAUUCUAAAACAAAAGAGCAAAGGGGAACAGUUUGAUUUAUUAGGGUUAAUUAUUCUAAAACAAAAGAGCAAAGGGGAACAGUUUGAUUUAUUAGGGUUAAUUAUUCUAAAACAAAAAGAGCAAAGGGGAACAGUUUGAUUUAUUAGGGUUAAUUAUUCUAAAACAAAAAGAGCAAAGGGGAACAGUUUGAUUUAUUAGGGUUAAUUAUUCUAAAACAAAAGAGCAAAGGGGAACAGUUUGAUUUAUUAGGGUUAAUUAUUCUAAAACAAAAGAGCAAAGGGGAACAGUUUGAUUUAUUAGGGUUAAUUAUUCUAAAACAAAAGAGCAAAGGGGAACAGUUUGAUUUAUUAGGGUUAAUUAUUCUAAAACAAAAGAGCAAAGGGGAACAGUUUGAUUUAUUAGGGUUAAUUAUUCUAAAACAAAAAGAGCAAAGGGGAACAGUUUGAUUUAUUAGGGUUAAUUAUUCUAAAACAAAAGAGCAAAGGGGAACAGUUUGAUUUAUUAGGGUUAAUUAUUCUAAAACAAAAAGAGCAAAGGGGAACAGUUUGAUUUAUUAGGGUUAAUUAUUCUAAAACAAAAGAGCAAAGGGGAACAGUUUGAUUUAUUAGGGUUAAUUAUUCUAAAACAAAAAGAGCAAAGGGGAACAGUUUGAUUUAUUAGGGUUAAUUAUUCUAAAACAAAAGAGCAAAGGGGAACAGUUUGAUUUAUUAGGGUUAAUUAUUCUAAAACAAAAGAGCAAAGGGGAACAGUUUGAUUUAU